CAAUCGACGGCGCGAACAACGAUGAGGGGUGGGGCCGCCAAACGGCGAUAGCAACCGUGCCGAUCGGGUCCGUGCAGGAAUUCGCGGUGCUCACGAAUGCGUUUUCUGCCGAGUUCGGCUGGACCGCCGGCCCCGCAUUGAACAUCGUCACCAAGUCCGGCACGAACCUUUUUCACGGCGAAGGAGUAUUCAUGGUUCGUCCCGGUGACUGGCAGGCAGAGAGAUUCUCGACCAAGAACUUCUGCGCGCCAUCCGUAUCCAGUUGCAUUACACCCACCACGCUC
rnacentral:misc_RNA from 1 species